UGAGUUUAAGGACAUAGAAAUACAUAUGCACAUUAUAUGAGCUUGUGAAUAAUUAGGAUAUCGGAAGCUAAUAUAUUGAAGGCCCAGUCAUGGGUGAAAAUGACACGAAGGCCCAACCAUGGGUGAAAAUGGUUACUAGGGGUUUGGUACACCCCUAGUCUACCUUUCUUAUAUUAUUUAUGCCAUUUCUACUUUCUUAAAACGUUUUUUCUGUAUUGUAUUCAUACUUGUAAAAACCCACAGUAUUAUUGGAAUCGUUUAUGUUUCGAAUAAGACA